GACGAACGCUGGCGGCGUGCUUAACACAUGCAAGUCGAACGGUGAACCUGCUUCGGUGGGGGAUCAGUGGCGAACGGGUGAGUAACACGUGGGCAACCUGCCCUCAGCUCUGGGAUAACUCCAAGAAAUUGGGGCUAAUACUGGAUAUGACCGCUGACCGCAUGGUCUGGUGGUGGAAAGAUUUAUCGGCUGGGGAUGGGCCCGCGGCCUAUCAGCUUGUUGGUGGGGUAGUGGCCUACCAAGGCGACGACGGGUAGCCGGCCUGAGAGGGUGACCGGCCACACUGGGACUGAGACACGGCCCAGACUCCUACGGGAGGCAGCAGUGGGGAAUAUUGCGCAAUGGGCGAAAGCCUGACGCAGCGACGCCGCGUGGGGGAUGACGGCCUUCGGGUUGUAAACCUCUUUCAGCAGGGACGAAGCGAAAGUGACGGUACCUGCAGAAGAAGCACCGGCUAACUACGUG
rnacentral:rRNA from 1 species